rnacentral:rRNA from 1 species
CCUACGGGAGGCAGCAGUGAGGAAUAUUGGUCAAUGGACGCGAGUCUGAACCAGCCAAGUAGCGUGAAGGAUGACUGCCCUAUGGGUUGUAAACUUCUUUUAUAUGGGAAUAAAACGUUCCACGUGUGGGAUUUUGUAUGUACCAUAUGAAUAAGGAUCGGCUAACUCCGUGCCAGCAGCCGCGGUAAUACGGAGGAUCCGCGCGUUAUCCGGAUUUAUUGGGUUUAAAGGGAGCGUAGGUGGAUUGUUAAGUCAGUUGUGAAAGUUUGCGGCUCAACCGUAAAAUUGCAGUUGAAACUGGCAGUCUUGAGUACAGUAGAGGUAGGCGGAAUUCGUGGUGUAGCGGUGAAAUGCUUAGAUAUCACGAAGAACUCCGAUUGCGAAGGCAGUUCACUGGACUGCAACUGACACUGAGGCUCGAAAGUGUGGGUAUCAAACAGGAUUAGAUACCCCUGUAGUC